CGGAAACUGAAACACUCGCUUCUGGUUCUCGAUCGUUUGGGAGCCAUAAUGUUCAACGCCCAAGGCGUUUGGGAGCAGAGGUAUGACUGUACCAGCUGUUGGAAACCUCAGGAGGGUAGAGUGCUGUGGUGGAUCUACAGUAAUGGAUCUACUUCCUCACUGCAGGAGAUCCAGGGGGUUCUCAUCAGCAGGUACCUUUGUGGGUGGUGGUGGUGGUGGUGGUGGUGGUGGUUGUUGUUGUUGUUGUUGUUAUUUUUGGCCCUUGGCAGUCGGUGGAAGAAGAUUGGAAGAAAUUUAAAGACUAUUUACAGAAAUAUUGCAAAAUUAAUGAAUGUUAGAAUGGUGUUGGAUUGAAGUUAAGUGGUUUCUAGCUGUAUUGGUAUAAAAGAAUAUGGAAAAAUUGGUUUUUAAUAUGUAAAAAUUUAAUGUUAUAAUCUAUCAAGAUUAAAGAUUAGGAUUAAAAAGGAGGGAAAGGAAUUGCUGGAUUAACAAAUUGAAUUGGAAUACAAAAGAGGGAGGUAUGAGGAGGUCCGGGAAACAAGUAAAUGUAAAAGAAGUGAUGAAAAGAUGGAAUUGUUUUUAACUGUUUGUUUUCUCCUUUGUAUUUUGUAUUUUUCUUUUUUAUUGUUAAUUUUCUCAUUAAUGUGAUUUUUCUUUUCUUUUGAAAUUUUAAUAAAUAUCAUUUUUUAAAAACAAAACAAAACAAAACAAAAUAUUUUUGGCCCUUGGCAAGUGUCUGCCAAUGCCAGGUCUCCUAGAUCUUAGUUUUAAAGAACUCUCAGCUCCAAGUUGAAAAAGUUUUGAGCACCUGCUUGCAUGUUCUGGGCACGUUAAACAUCGGUUCUGUCAGAUUUCUUCUGUUCCCCAGCGGGGAAGUUGGGUAUUUCUGUCACUUGCCUGGCAGAAUAAGAGUACAGGACUGAAAUAGUAUUUGUUUUCCAACCUUUCUUUCUUUCCUUCUUUCUUUCCAGGGAGGGAUCUUGACAUCUUUCUGUAGGGGCUGCAUCACCAGAUCUGACACCACUGAGAACACGGGAUGCCAUUGCGAGUCUUCAGACUUGAGUCAACUGCGUUUGGAAACUUAGAAAUAAAUGACAGGGGAUGUGCCAAGACUGUCACAUUCUCCCCCAAUAGACAGG